rnacentral:lncRNA from 7 species
UCUGCAGUUGUACUAAAUGCAGUAUUUGCUUGGGUUUAAUACCCUCCCCCUCAAGGGCUGUGUGUCCCAUGCAUCUCCAUGAAGAUUUAUUUUCAUCUACAGGGCAUGUUCGUGCCAAGACGUCUCCUCCUCUGCCCAGGGACUGCAUCAAGCAUCAUCAGCUUUAACAGGGGAAGGAGAGCCACAGGACAGCAGUGAACUUCCAAACAGGGGCAGGUGGGGAUAUGGAGGAGUAAAGCUGCUGAGGACAGUUGACAACCAGUGACUUGCUUGUUUCUAUUGAGAGGACACCUCCUGGUUGAACUGGUUUCAUACUGGGAAUGGUUUGAAGGUCUUGUACAAGAAAGGUGAAGUUUGCCACAGAACAAAAAACUAUGUAGAGGAGAGAUGAAAUCAGGAAUGCUUGGCACAUGGAGAGACAUGAAAGGGGAGAUGCACAUACCCUGUGAAUUUGUUCCCCUGCAUUUUUUCUGCUAAACAUUAUGGGAACUCUGCUGAAGCAGGCAAUCCAGUAGAGAGUGGUAACAAGAUUGGAAAGAAGCAGCAGCCACCCAAGGUCAGCAGAAGCCUUUGGAUGCCAGUGCCAGGAUGGCUCAGCAAAGGUCACCACAAAUGGACAGAGAUGUCUUUUCUGCCAAAGGCUGUUUAGCAUGUGAAACAGGUAGGCUGGAGUCAUCAGGGGAGAUCCAAGGAUGCACCUGGCACCCAGUGAGGCGAGGGAUGCUGAUGUCUGCACUUGGUCAGAAGGAGACAAAGCUCAGCAAAGACAAUGCAGCUGUGUCUGUUGUGUUGGCUUUGCUUCAUUUACAGUGCCUGUUAAUUACACAAGGUCUGUUCAGGGAACAGCCCUCCUUCUGUCCUGCUUCUGUAUAUGCUGGUUUGGCUGUGUUUUCCUCCAGACCUCAGUCCCGGGAUUGGGAGGAACCUAUUAGCUGACUUUUUGCCUGAGAGGGGACCUAAGUCAUGCACAGGAUGUCCAAGGAGCUGGAUGCCACUCAGCUGGUCCUGCCCUUUCUCCUUUUUUCCUCUUUAUGUGUCCAGUGACCAGUUCUCAUUCUGCUUCUAGUUGUGUAAUACCCCUACUUAAAUUGAGCUGUGAAACAACUUCAUUUUGUCUCAAUUCAUACAGGAAAAGAGGAAAAAGUAAUUUCAGAUAUAGCUGCUAGAAACCUGGAUUCUGCAUACUGUAUAUAGUUCCGGAUUUGCCUUUCAAAGGUUUGGAAUUACUAGUGCCAGAGGGAAAGCAAUUCAGAAGUUUAAGACACAGACCUUUGGUUAGUCCCUCUAACUCGAGAGGUUGUAUUUGUUAGACAGCAGUGUGCUGGUUACAAGCUCACUUAGAAAAUGUCUACACAGCUGUUUUCAGACUCCUGGGAUUUAAAACAUUUAAAUAAAGUUUGCUGAAGGCUUUGAGUACAGCCUGGAUUUUGCUGUAUUGAGAGCAAAUGCUGCAUUCCCCCACCUGUGAACAGAACCCAGUCUGGAGAUGCUGUGCUUGAGCAAAACUGACAAACAUUGUAAAAGUACAUCUUCAUAUGGAAGUCAGCAGAAGUCCUGUCAGGCUGCAAUCCAAGCAAAAUGAGUGGAAAUCUGACUGAAGAAAUCCAGGAGAAAUGGGUGUAGUUAUAUCUUGCAUUAUGAAGAGUUCUGGAUGAGGGUGGACACUAAUGGAGAAGAAAACAAUGGGAGCAUCUUUUAGUGAGACAAAGCCAUGUGAGUGGUUCCUGAUGUUAAAGGAUGUGUCUUUAGACCUGGUGCUGAGGGUGAGAGCCCUCUGCUGCUCACAAUGCUGAGCACUGGGUGCAGAGGGGCAGCAGGCCUGGCCCUGCCUAUGCUCCAUCAGUUCACACCUGGCUCUGCUGCUGCCUUUCCCCCUCAGAAAUGGGACUGUAGGCCCACAGAGGGGCUGGAAGGUGCCUGAGGUGUAUGAGAGGGAUGUGCUGUGGCCCACAGCAAGUCCUGUACCUCUAACAUGAUGUCUGGCCAGUUGGUAGAUGUAGGUUGGCUGUCCACUCUCUCACCUGGCUAUAUUAAUCCCUCAGGAGUUCAAAAUCUCAUAUAGAUUCAGAUAUUUGGAAGCUCAGUCUGGUCUCAUCAAAGCUUUCAAUGUUAUUAUCUCUGCUACUCAGAGGCAGAUUCCAAACACCCUCAGGUGGGGAAUACUCAGCAUAGCCCCUGUUAUUAUAUUUUCCCCUUGUUUUGUGCAGCUCUCAUUCAAAUACCAGAACCAUAGGGGGCUGCUGGUGGUGAUGGGGAUCUUAUUACAGUUCAUUUCUCUUCCAAAUUAAAAUCAGUGCAUUGAGUUCACCUUUGCUGCACUCACCUAAGUGCUUUUGCUGGAGCAGAGGCUGGGCAGUGGUCCUCAGCAGUGACAAAUAUGGGAGGUGGGCACC